rnacentral:rRNA from 1 species
UGGGGAAUAUUGGACAAUGGGCGCAAGCCUGAUCCAGCCAUGCCGCGUGUGUGAAGAAGGCCUUUUGGUUGUAAAGCACUUUAAGCGAGGAGGAGGCUACUUGGAUUAAUACUCUAGGAUAGUGGACGUUACUCGCAGAAUAAGCACCGGCUAACUCUGUGCCAGCAGCCGCGGUAAUACAGAGGGUGCGAGCGUUAAUCGGAUUUACUGGGCGUAAAGCGUGCGUAGGCGGCUUCUUAAGCCGGAUGUGAAAUCCCUGAGCUUAACUUAGGAAUUGCAUUCGAUACUGGGAAGCUAGAGUAUGGGAGAGGAUGGUAGAAUUCCAGGUGUAGCGGUGAAAUGCGUAGAGAUCUGGAGGAAUACCGAUGGCGAAGGCAGCCAUCUGGCCUAAUACUGACGCUGAGGUACGAAAGCAUGGGGAGCAAACAGG